rnacentral:rRNA from 1 species
GAUGAACGCUGGCGGCGUGCCUAAUACAUGCAAGUCGAGCGAACAGAUGAGGAGCUUGCUCCUCUGACGUUAGCGGCGGACGGGUGAGUAACACGUGGAUAACCUACCUAUAAGACUGGGAUAACUUCGGGAAACCGGAGCUAAUACCGGAUAAUAUAUUGAACCGCAUGGUUCAAUAGUGAAAGACGGUUUUGCUGUCACUUAUAGAUGGAUCCGCGCCGCAUUAGCUAGUUGGUAAGGUAACGGCUUACCAAGGCAACGAUGCGUAGCCGACCUGAGAGGGUGAUCGGCCACACUGGAACUGAGACACGGUCCAGACUCCUACGGGAGGCAGCAGUAGGGAAUCUUCCGCAAUGGGCGAAAGCCUGACGGAGCAACGCCGCGUGAGUGAUGAAGGUCUUCGGAUCGUAAAACUCUGUUAUUAGGGAAGAACAAAUGUGUAAGUAACUAUGCACGUCUUGACGGUAUCUAAUCAGAAAGCCACGGCUAACUACGUG